AGAUUGAACGCUAGCGGGAUGCUUUACACAUGCAAGUCGAACGGCAGCGCGGACUUCGGUCUGGCGGCGAGUGGCGAACGGGUGAGUAAUAUAUCGGAACGUGCCCAGUAGCGGGGGAUAACUACGCGAAAGCGUGGCUAAUACCGCAUACGCCCUACGGGGGAAAGGGGGGGAUUCUUUCGAGAACCUCUCACUAUUGGAGCGGCCGAUAUCAGAUUAGCUAGUUGGUGAGGUAAAGGCUCACCAAGGCGACGAUCUGUAGCUGGUUUGAGAGGACGACCAGCCACACUGGGACUGAGACACGGCCCAGACUCCUACGGGAGGCAGCAGUGGGAAUUUGGACAAUGGGGAAACCUGAUCCAGCCAUCCCGCGUGUGCGAUGGAAGGCCUUCGGGUUGUAAGUCUACUUUGGCGAGGAAGAACGCGUGACUAAUAUUCAGUCGU
rnacentral:rRNA from 1 species